CGCAAUGGGCGAGAGCCUGUCGGAGCAACGCCGCGUGAGGGACGAAGGCCUCUGGGCUGUAAACCUCUUUUCUCAAGGAAGAAGAUAUGACGGUACUUGAGGAAUAAGCCACGGCUAAUUCCGUGCCAGCAGCCGCGGUAAUACGGGAGUGGCAAGCGUUAUCCGGAAUUAUUGGGCGUAAAGCGUCCGCAGGCGGCUUUUCAAGUCUGCUGUUAAAACGUGGAGCUUAACUCCAUCAUGGCAGUGGAAACUGAAAGGCUUGAGUAUGGUAGGGGCAGAGGGAAUUCCCGGUGUAGCGGUGAAAUGCGUAGAUAUCGGGAAGAACACCAGUGGCGAAGGCGCUCUGCUGGGCCAUUACUGACGCUCAUGGACGAAAGCCAGGGGAGCGAAAGGGAUUAGAUACCCCUGUAGUCCUGGCCGU
rnacentral:rRNA from 1 species